rnacentral:tRNA from 1 species
GCGAGAGUGGCGGAAUUGGCAAACGCGUUAGCUUCAGGUGUUAGUGUCCUUCAGACGUGGGUGUUCAAGCCCCCCCUUUCGUA